rnacentral:misc_RNA from 1 species
UCUUUCUUCCUCAAAUUUAACAAGGCUUAAGGUAAACUACAGCAAAUAAGUACAAUCUUCUCUCUAGUGCAGGAGUGCACAAUGCAUAAUAAGACAGAGAAACCUGACAGCUCACCACUUGGUUAAUUUCAAUCAUCCAGCUAAUUCCCGUAGAAAAAAGUGUUAACAUUUAAGUCCUAUAUGCAGCACAGCACUACCAUCUCUUGCAUAGAAGGUUAGGUUGGUG